rnacentral:rRNA from 1 species
GAGUUUGAUCAUGGCUCAGGAUGAACGCUGGCGGCGUGCUUAACACAUGCAAGUCGAACGAGAUCCAUGGAGCAGCAAUGCAACGGAAGAUCUAGUGGCGAACGGGUGAGUAACACGUGAGGAACCUACCCCGGUCUCAGGGAUAACAGACGGAAACAUCUGCUAAUACCUGAUGUCGUCAGAGUGCCACAUGGUGUUUUGACGAAAGAUUUAUCGGUCCGGGAGGGCCUCGCGUCCUAUCAGCUUGUUGGUGGGGUAAUGGCCUACCAAGGCGUCGACGGGUAGCUGGUCUGAGAGGAUGAUCAGCCACACUGGGACUGAGACACGGCCCAGACUCCUACGGGAGGCAGCAGUGGGGAAUCUUGCGCAAUGGGCGAAAGCCUGACGCAGCAACGCCGCGUGCGGGAAGAAGGCCUUCGGGUUGUAAACCGCUUUCAGCAGGAACGAAAAUGACGGUACCUGCAUAAGAAGGUGCGGCCAACUACGUGCCAG